UACGAAGGGGGCUAGCGUUGCUCGGAAUCACUGGGCGUAAAGGGUGCGUAGGCGGGUCUUAAGUCAGGGGUGAAAUCCUGGAGCUCAACUCCAGAACUGCCUUUGAUACUGAAGAUCUUGAGUUCGGGAGAGGUGAGUGGAACUGCGAGUGUAGAGGUGAAAUUCGUAGAUAUUCGCAAGAACACCAGUGGCGAAGGCGGCAUACUGGCCCAUUACUGACGCUGAGGCUCGAAAGCGUGGGGAGCAAACAGGG
rnacentral:rRNA from 1 species